rnacentral:rRNA from 1 species
CCUACGGGAGGCUGCAGUGAGGAAUAUUGGUCAAUGGGCGCGAGCCUGAACCAGCAACGCCGCGUGAAGGAAGAAGGCUUUCGGGUUGUAAACUUCUUUUGUCAGGGACGAAGCAAGUGACGGUACCGGACGAAUAAGCCACGGCUAACUAUGUGCCAGCAGCCGCGGUAAUACGUAGGUGGCAAGCGUUAUCCGGAUUUACUGGGUGUAAAGUGCGGGUAGGCGGGACUGCAAGUCAGAUGUGAAAACCACGGGCUCAACCUGUGGCCUGCAUUUGAAACUGUAGUUCUUGAGUACUGGAGAGGCAGACGGAAUUCCUAGUGUAGCGGUGAAAUGCGUAGAUAUUAGGAGGAACACCAGUGGCGAAGGCGGUCUGCUGGACAGCAACUGACGCUGAGGCGCGAAAGCGUGGGGAGCAAACAGGAUGAGAUACCCGGGUAGUC